ensembl:lncRNA
CAGCGAGAGGACAGGGACCCCACCGCAGCACCCUGGAGACGGACCGCUGUGCAAUGGACUGUGUGCGUGUGAGGAGGGUCGUAAAACGCGCGGUGAGGAAGAGGUUAAAUCCAUCUCAUCUGACGCUAAACAAGAAAUAAUGGUUUCUUUCUUCUCGCAAGCAACGGAAAGAGAAAGUCCCUCAUUUCCCUUUGCGGACAUCGGGUUCCUGAAUAACUCCCCGGAGUAGAUUCAUCAUCAUUACAUUAAAUCAGCCAUGGCCUCCAUCAGUGGUUCGUUUGCCUCAGUGUUAACUCAGCGGGAGCCGCAACAGGCUGUGAAUUCUACACGCAAACAAACAGAGAAAAUAACAACGACAACACACACUGAAUAAUUCUUUUGUGUACACUGGGGCGAACAGUGCCACCAAAAGGGAUCAUAUUUUAAUAUACAGCAUAGUGUGUAAUUCACAGAGACACUUUUAAUCCCCUAGGGGUCGUGGGAGAAUGUCUUUCUUGUUUCUUUUCUGUGAAUAUCUGUGCAUUUUCCGAGUGAGGCUGCUGAAUCCCUUAAUCGAAUCUCCUUUCAUCGGGCUUUCGUGGCGCGUGAGUGGAUUCUGCACAUCAGACAUUCAUCACACUUCUGACCCUGCAGGCUUCCCGUGGGCCAGAGGAGAGAAGGGAAACAAAUAGGAAACACGGUAUGUGCAACAACGCGUUUAGCUUCGCUUUAAAAUGUAACGGUGGAGAGAUGAAGCCCUCUCCGAUUCGAUGCAGACAUCCUCCCUGCCAUCAGAUCGGGACUACUUCAUAUUGUCAUUACAUGCAGUUUUAAUUAUUGUCCCUUCCAUGUGUCUGGGUAAAAAAAAAAUUAAAGAUAGUCUGCUAUGUAGGGGGGGCUUUGAUCUUCCUAUAUUAUCAAUGGGGGUUUGGGAACCACUAGCUUAUGCUAUGAACUUGAAAACACCCUAUAAACCAUAAAAACAUUUUUUUGUGUGCAAAAGAUUGUCCUAAUUGCCCGUGUGUUAAUUUAUAUGUCAAUUCAUAUUUUAAUUGUUUCAUCUCAUUCUGAUCCUCAGGCAAAGACUGUAUGUCAGACGUGGACGUACGGACAUCUGAACCGCGGAGGAGUGGGUGAGGACCGCCCUAAAGCGUACCCUGCUUCAUGGUCUAUUUGACUCUAGAUGGACCAUCAUUGACUAAAUAAACAUCAUGCCGUGUUGAAGUAGACUUGAAACCAGAGAUUGAGAUCAAAAACUCAUGUUUACAAUGUUUACUGAGGGAAUGAACCAAGAGAGAAGUAAAGUCCUUUCCUCAUAGACUAUCCUAUCAGUACUGUGUGCAAAAAGUAGAGGCUGCUUGAUGCUGUUGGUCGGAAUGUCCACCGGCGUCCAUUUGUUUCUAUCCCCUCCAGCCGACACGCAGUCCUCGCCUCAUACUAAACUGUCCCCUCCAGCCGACCGGAUACCAGCAGGAGGGUCAUUUGACCUUUCACCAACAUCACAGCAGCUCCUGUGUCCACCACACUGCUGAUAAUCUCCCCCCCGUUCAUUUAGAUCAAAUCUACACAUGCAUGCAAGUGGCUGCGACGACCAACUGCACGCAGGCGGUUGCAGGUCGUGAGCUUCCAGGUGGAUCAUUCCAGCCAGCUUGGUAUUCUGACGAAGGGAGUCUGGACUCACUAAUAGGAUUCUGGGUUUUUCUUCUCUCCGAGACAACGUGAGCAAUGGGGAGGUUAAUCUGUAUGUGUUUGAAGUCAGGUCUGCGCCUCAUUGACUUUCUUCACCUUCCCUUGGCUCUGUCUCCAUUGCGCGCACACACACACACACACACACACAUCGGUGCUUUGAACUGUGACUAAAGCUUUCUCUGCGUCUCUGUCUUUGAUCCUUGUUAAAAGGUUAAGGUGACUGCAGGGAUUGGGCAGAGCGGGGAGUGCGUGAAGUUUCACCAAAGUUUUCACCUCGGAUGAUGACGCACACAAAGGAGAAGGUGGUGUGACCCUCUGGCGUUCCCAUCUAAUGGAACUCCUCUGUUAGGUGGAUGCGCGGCUCGGCGCCCAGAGGGAGGACAUCACGCCACCGUCAUGGACGCCGAUCAUCUCCUGGUCAUGAACAGUCGUCUCAUGGUGCUUCCCCGCUUCAGAUGAGGCCCUAACAGCAUCUCCACGAAGACUCGUAGGAAACUGUGCCCCCCCCCCCCCCCCCCCCUCCCCAUGGUUCGAGCAAACUUCCGCUGCUUUGCUAAAUGUCGAGAGAAGAUGAAGCAGGUUUUCCGUUAGAAUCUGACUGGGAGCUCAGGCUGUCGUUGUGAUGUCGGCCAUGGCACAUGGCAGAUGGAGACGGGUUUGGCAUUAGCAUAAUUUUCCCACCGACCGUUUUCUCGCAAAUUCCUGCGUGGGAACGAGAAGACACACAGAUUCUGGAGCUCAUUACACUGUGGCAGCGUACACCAGUGUGUGUACGUCUGUGCGAGAGUGACUUAUUACGGCGAUGCACUGCUCAUCAUUGUUAUAGCGGUGCACAUUAGGCAGGGGAGCCUUGUGCUUAACGAGACGAGGCUUUUCAUCGAGCUUCAGCAUCCCCUCGUCAUGGCAACGCUCUGCUGAUCCUUUCACCUCUUCCCAUUGUUUUAUUUCUGCUGCCGCAGCCUCUCGGUCCGUCGGGUUCUCGCUGUUUCUUCCCCAACGUCAUUGAGCCACCGCUUUUCCUCUCGCGUAAUUCUUUUCUCUGCCCUUUUUUCCCGCAAUCCAUCCGGUCUGAGGCUUCUCCAUCCCUCCCUACGUCGUACCCUGUGACCCGGAGGAGCCAGUACAGAGACAUCAGCAUAAAUAACAUAUGAGGUGGUGUAGUAUUACCACAUACUCACACACACACCAUUGGCCUCUCCACAGUCUUCCAUCAGGAGCAGGGGAAUACAAUACAACGGUUCCCUGGGGAGGAUGUUCAUGUUUCCCUUAAAGGAGAAAAACAAUUGAGAAGACAACGAAUGAAUUGAAAGAGAAAUGUAGAUAGUUAUGAGUAGAACGUGCAGAUAGUAAAUACAUCUGUAUUACCUCUUUAUGACACCUGGAUAUAAAUGAGAACUUGCUGAAAAAUGUAUGGGGAAAUUAGCUGUCUGCGCAUUAAUAUUUGAAUAAAUACCAGAUUUACAAUAGCUUUCUGUGAGGCCAGCUGUGAGGCAGCCAUGAAUAUUUCACCAUAAUGAACGCCCUGUUGGAGGAGAAAGGCCUGAACUCUGUGAAUAUUUUACGAAAUGGAUCUAAACUACUCUCUGAAAGAUUGGAUUACCUAACUCGAACAUCACAAUGUGCUUGAUGUUUUGACCCGCGGAAAAGAGAUUAAAAAAAAGGGGAGACAUCAUUUUCAUUCCAAAUAUGAAACAUUGCUGUUGAAAUAAUGACGGUUUCCCUGCAGUUUCUCUGGUUUCCUCCCACAGUGGUGACAGACAUGCUGCCUUAGUUAAUGGAUUGCUCUCAACGCCCUGUGAUCAGUGCUUUGCUCAGGCCGACAUGUCGUUGAGAGUCGGGACCCGUCGACAGCUUCUUUCACUUACAUUUGAAAAAAGCCCCCAUCAUGUUUUGCAGAGGCCAUAAUGAGCGCUGCAAACAUGUUUACCUCCGAACAGUAAUUGGUUUCCAUGAACAUGUUUUCCCUGUAUAUACUGUCCAUUUAUAAUCUAUCAUAACAUUGUAGCAAUGGGACUGCAUCCCCCACGAGAAAACCUGUCUGUUUGAAACAAAAGGAAUCCAGUUUGCUGCAGCGCAGCGUUUGUUGCAAGUUGCAUUUGUCCCAUGGUGCAAAAAGUGUUCAUCUGACUGAAAGCUAAGAAGACAGGGGAGAAGACAAAUGCAGCACAGAUGUGCAAAGCUAAUUAGCAGGAAGCCCACAUGGACUCAAACAUGCAUCUACUAAUUACUGACUUAGCAGAGAUAAAUACCUCCACGUUCCAGGUAGCCUUUAAAUAGCAGACCCUCAAACACAAAAGCACACGACAAGAUGGCAACAAGGCAGCAAGGAUGAAGUGACAGGACAGAAAAGUGUGAAGUAUCUGGAGGAGCGACGGGGAGAGCGUGACAGGUGAGCAGGUGGUCAGGUGACGGGUGGGGAAAGGAGGGAAAGUCCUUUGGUGAGAGUGAAAAGGGCAUGAAUUGGGAUUGGGGAAUUCGGGGUGUAGCUUGAGAAUGCCGCGGUGAAACAUGUACACGUCCAACAUCUUAACCGAUGCUUCAAAGCUGAAGCUGGUGGCACUUAAUUCAGAGAGGCUGAACCUUUCGUUGCCUUCUGUGAGGCCAAGCACAAGGCUAGACCUGUUUAUAACGAGCCCUACCAAUCACUGCCCAUUAGUAUUACAAUGCAGUCCUGUAAGUAUGUGUAAUGAUAUGGAUGGUACAGCGAAGCAAAGUUAGAGAUCAUUUCUUUAUCAUGAACACCGAAAUUUUGUCUUUACAAACUUCUUUUCCAAGGCCGAACUUUAAAGGAUACAAAACAACGGUAGACCCAUUCACAUUAGGCCUUAACCGGACCAUUUAAUUGCCAUCUCCUCAUCACCUUAUUGUAUUGAACAGGUAGCCUAUUAAAAGACAUAGUAUUUUAAUCAACCAUCUUAUUAAAAGACCAUUAAGCUCUUCUCAUUCUUUUCAGGAGGUUUUAUAUUAGAAUGAAAUGUUAUAAGUACGCUACAAUUAUCAGAAACAUACAAACAUCCAUGCGGUUUAAAGGUGUACUGGAGGUUUAAUUGUUAAAUUAAAUUGUUUUUUCAUCUUGAGCCCUGAACACAUCCAUGCCUGUUAACCUGCUUGAUCCCAUGACAGCUUGACCAAUGAACUGGUACACAUGAAUGAAUACAACACUUGCAGACCAUAGUGUUUGGAAUAUUUCACUGCACUGACGGUGGAGCCGGCAUAAUUACCAGCUCCCUUGGCGGGGUUUAGCAUUUUAAAGGAAACAAUGAGGUCAGCUGACAGGCUGCACGCUAGAGACACAGGAUCCUUGCAGGAGUUGGGAGCAUCAGCUGUGCCGGCCUGUUUGGCAGCACCUCAGGCAACGAUAGCCUCAUGUCACCCACUGGUCCACUAUUCACAUGGAAGAGACAGGACGAUGUCCAUUAUUCAUACCAGGCCUGUGAUCGCUUUCUAUCAAAGUAUCUUACAGCAGGAGCCAAGGAAAGUCAAGGUCAAGUCUUUAACCUGGAGUCCCAGUCAAGUCUCAAGUCUUUAACCUGUAGUCCCAGUCAAGUCUCAAGUCUUUAACCUGUAGUCCCAGUCAAGUCUCGGGUCUUUAACCCGGAGUCCCAGUCAAGUCUCGGGUCUUUAACCCGGAGUCCCAGUCAAGUCUCGGGUUUUUAACUUGGAGUCCCAGUCAAGUCUCGGGUCUUUAACCUGGAGUCCCAGUCAAGUCUCGGGUCUUAUAUGUAUUUAUAAAUAACACCACAUGACUGCAGACUGCAGACUAGUGCUGACAAACACUGCGACACGCAAACGGCAAUUAGCAGCCGCUUCAUCUCCGGGGUCCAGGCUGUCUGCGGUCUGAUGUGUCCUCCCCCGUCACAUCGCUCACCUGACACCAUCCGACACCAUCUGACACCAUCUGUCAGAGCGCUACAGAGAAAGCGAAGGAAUUAAUGUUGGAGUCGAAAUCCAGCUGUUUCUGAGUGAAUGCAGGCUGCAUGAAAGAAUAAGGCAUGACGUAUUGUUUUUAAAAAAAAACGUUUUUUGAACCACAAAUUCUUUUAUAGCUGUAGCUGCUAAUGUGGUGCACACGGUUCCUGGAGCCUCGUGGGUGGAGGCUGACUAAUCCGUGGCCGUGCUCGGUACAUACUGCCAUCAAACACUGAUUGUAUCAAAAGUGUUGGUAUAGUUUUCUGAUCGAAACACGAGGAACAAAAAGUUAUUACUCUAGUUUUCAAAUCGCACAUGGAGUUCUCUUUAGUAGUAUAUUGAAUUGGUUUUGCUUCUUUUGGAGGCUGGACAUAAUGUUAAGUAAUUUAAUGCAACGUAGAUUGUGUUAUUGUUCAGUGAAAUAAAACCGCACUCACACUAAUUCACAUCAGGUGCACAGUCUCACCUUUUGGCUUUCUCUAAAAGUAUUUUGUUUUGAUUUUCCACAUGGAUAUAAACAGUCUGCCAUUUCUCCUGGAUUCGUCCAGCUUUCAAUAACAGCGACUGAGACUUUCAGAGUUUACUGCAGAAACAGUGGCUUUUGAGACUUGCUUGUUGCUUUUAAUGUGACAGUUUGUCAUACAAACAGGAUUGUGUCUUCAUUUUUCCAUCUUUUUGUUGAUUUUCACAGGCUUACAUACUUAUGAUUGUAUACGGAGACUCAAAACAUUCAUAAGACGUGGAAGAAGGAGCUGGCUACUCUGCAGAAAUACCUUCUCAUGCAGUGUAUGAUGCUGACAGAAAUACAUGGCAGCGACAAGCAGUCCUGAGUCCUGCGAGUGCCCACAAAUGUGAUCACGAACAAUCUUCCCCUUAUAGAUCACGACCUGUUCAAUCAAUAUGAGCCUAUUUCGCUUCACAGCGCCUGUUGUGAAUUUCAUUACCAUGGUUUGUCAUUUUCUGAGUGCGUUGCCAGCAAAAGAGUUUGAGAAACAUGGUUUACAGCUAAUGUCAUUGCUAAUGUCAUCAUGCUAACAUCAUGGAAGGCCACCACUGAGAGAGCACCAGGUUUUGAAGAUGAAAUUGUGUCAGUUGAUUCAAGCAAAACAUGUGUCGACAUCUCUGGACGAAGAGAAUGUUGGCCUGGUUUUGUCUUUGCAGACCAGUGGAAGAAAUGUUCCAUGAAUACGUUUCAUAUAAAUGUGUAUCCUGCUUAAAAAGAUCACAAUGUGAAGCGAUUGAUGAGGGUUAGGCAACAACAUUACUUGGUAACGGUUUGAAAAAGGUUCAUGAUUGGUUUUACAAAGAAUCAUUGAAUGACAUGAUCUGAUAUAUUGUUUUGUCGGCACAAGCCUGCAAAUAAAAACCAGCCACCCUGAGCAGCUUUCAUGACAUUAUGUAACAAGUGUAAACUCAAUGUGUACUUUUAGUUUCACAUAGGACACGAACAGCCGUCUCCUGGGGCAUGUUUUGUUUUACCAAAUUCAUUGUACAGAGUAACCUGUUUACUAGUAAUCCUGCAAGCGAUAAUUAUUUAAAUGUGCACGUAAACACAAAUCAACGUUUCCUUUGUAUCCUGAACGCCAAAAAAAAUCGUGGCAACAGGGCGUCACCAUUGCUACGGUAACCGGAUGAGGAGAGAUCCUGUUCAAGCCUGUUUAACAAAACUUGUUAGCAAGUGUCACAUCACAGAAGAGCCGUCGUAUUCAAAUUCAGGACUCAGCGCUCCGAAUGUUGAGCUCAGAGCGUCUGAAAGGGAAACAGACAAGAGAAGAAAAGGGGAGCAGGAAUCAGAAGAAAGAGCAGGACAGGCUCGAGGCGUUGACCUGUCUUGCAUCCACUUCCCUAAUAUGGAGAGCAGCUUAUUAUCGGUGGCCCUCUGUCACCCGCUUUGAAAAUAUCAUUAUCAGCUGAAAAUGUGUAAAUAAUUUUCAAUCAGGGAGAGUCAACUUCAUCUUUCACAUGAUUGUGCUAAUAGUGUCAUAGUGUAGACAAGCGAGUACAAGAACCAACGCAUUUUUACAUUAGAUUUAAAAAGUCCCAUUUUCUCGUGCCCUGAUGAUAGCGGGCUGAUGGAGCCUGGCAAUUGUAGUGGCACAUUAUGGAUUUAAAAUAUUUUCAUUCAAACAUGCACCGUGUGCACUUUCAAGAUAAAAAUGUGUGUUGUGGCAGCACAACGCAGCAACCUCCGGUUCUACACAGCGAAGCCGUGCGUCCUCUCUGCUGACUAUCAGGGGGAGAAAAGGACUCUACUUCUCUCUUGACUUGGUCUCUGAGUAAACACUGUAAACAUGAGUUUAUGGCCUCAAUCAGUGGCGGCUGGUAACAAACGUUGUAGCCAUCCAAUCAUUUUCAGCAUCCCAGCAUGCACAACAACUAAAUAUGCAUUACUACUUUACUGUAUAUAUAUAUACAGUAUAUACGUAUAUAUAUACAUAUAUAUAUAUGAAGCUUAGGCGAAAAUUCAGUCAGGAAGGCUGGACAGACUGUGCCGUUCCCUGGUGGCCUCCUCUCUCCUUGUGGGUGCACGGCCAGCUGAUUAGGGGCGGGGUCGGGUAGUACCAGCCAACCAGACGUGGGUGCCGUUACCGUAAACAGAUUGCAUCGGUGCAGGCAAACGUUAAAAACUGUUCUCCUCUCUUUUGCUGUCAGUUGUCAUUUCAGCACGCACCAAAGACGACCCGCCACCACCCCUGAAGCCUCCAAUCUACAGCAGAACCUGGCAUAUUUAUUUCCUGUCUUAUUGUGUAGUUUUCUGCUUCUUGUCUCCCUGGGUAUCUUCACUUCCUGCCUCGUCCUGUCGUCCCCCUGUGAUUGUCUGAUUGUUUCUACCUGUGUCCAAUCACCUGCACCUCCCUGUGUAUUUAAGCAGUGUGUGUCUCUUGUGACUUGUCGCGUCAUUGUCUAUCGUCCUGGAUGUCUCUAGUUCCUGCCAGCCUUUUUUUCCCCCGGUACCUGUAUGCGUUUUUGCCCCUUGGCCAUUUUGUGUUGGAGUUUAUGACUAUUA